GCCAUAUAAGUCUCUUGUGAAAUCCCACGUCUCAAGCGUGGGGCUUGCAGGAGAUACUGUAUGGCUAGAGAUCGGUAGACGUAAGCAGUACGCCGGAGGUAAUGGUAAAAUAUGUUAAUCUUCGGUGGACUAACAAUGAGCGAAGGCAGCUUACGAGGACGAAUCUGACAGUCAGGGAUGAAGGCCAGGGGCGCAAAACGGAUUAGAUACCCGUGUAGUCCUGGCAGUAAACACUGUUCACUAAACAUCGGGCCCUCUUCGGGAGGAUUCGGUGCUGAAGCGAAGGCGAAGAGUGAACUACCUGGGAAGUAUAGUCGCAAGAUCG
rnacentral:rRNA from 1 species